AUUGAACGCUGGCGGCAUGCCUUACACAUGCAAGUCGAACGGCAUCGCGGGAAAGCUUGCUUUCCUGGCGGCGAGUGGCGAACGGGUGAGUCACACAUCGGAACGUACCGGCUAGUGGGGGAUAACCCGUCGAAAGACGGGCUAAUACCGCAUACGCUCUUCGGAGGAAAGCAGGGGACCUUUUGGCCUUGCGCUAGCCGAGCGGCCGAUGUCCGAUUAGCUAGUUGGUGGGGUAAAGGCCUACCAAGGCGACGAUCGGUAGCGGGUCUGAGAGGACGAUCCGCCACACUGGGACUGAGACACGGCCCAGACUCCUACGGGAGGCAGCAGUGGGGAAUCUUGGACAAUGGGGGCAACCCUGAUCCAGCAAUGCCGCGUGGGUGAAGAAGGCCUUCGGGUUGUAAAGCCCUUUCGGCAGGGAAGAAAUCGGCGGGGCGAAUAACCCUGCUGGAUGACGGUACCUGCAGAAGAAGCACCGGCUAACUACGUG
rnacentral:rRNA from 1 species